AGUGAACGCUGGCGGUAGGCCUAACACAUGCAAGUCGAACGGCAGCACAGUAAGAGCUUGCUCUUACGGGUGGCGAGUGGCGGACGGGUGAGGAAUACAUCGGAAUCUACUUUUUCGUGGGGGAUAACGUAGGGAAACUUACGCUAAUACCGCAUACGACCUACGGGUGAAAGCAGGGGAUCUUCGGACCUUGCGCGAUUGAAUGAGCCGAUGUCGGAUUAGCUAGUUGGCGGGAUAAAGGCCCACCAAGGCGACGAUCCGUAGCUGGUCUGAGAGGAUGAUCAGCCACACUGGAACUGAGACACGGUCCAGACUCCUACGGGAGGCAGCGGUGGGGAAUAUUGGACAAUGGGCGCAAGCCUGAUCCAGCCAUACCGCGUGGGUGAAGAAGGCCUUCGGGUUGUAAAGCCCUUUUGUUGGGAAAGAAAAGCAGCAGGUUAAUACCCCGCUGUUCUGACGGUACCCAAAGAAUAAGCACCGGCUAACUUCGUG
rnacentral:rRNA from 1 species